AGCCCUAAGUGGGUGGUAAACUCCAUCUAAGGCUAAAUAUGACCACGAGACCGAUAGCGAACAAGUACCGUGAGGGAAAGUUGAAAAGCACUUUGAAGAGAGAGUUCAAGAGUACGUGAAACCGUUUAGGGGUAAACCUGAGAAACCCGAAAGGUCGAAGGGAGAAAUUCAUUCGCGUUUCGUCGCAGGCGUGGGACGGUCGAGUGACGGAAAGCGUUCGCGCGUUUCCGCGCCCUCCGUUCUUCGAACCGGCGACGAACGCGUGCACUUUUCUCCUGGUAGGACGUCGCGAUCCGUUGGGCGUCGGUCUACGGCUCGCGGUGGAGCCCGUUCCGUAUUCGUACGGACGGACCCGCGUGACCCGGCCGACUCGCUCGACGGUAUACGAAAGGUUUAAGGCCGCUCUCGGAGCGUUCGACUCGUGGCAAGCGCGCCGGAUGUGUCGGUGAUCGGACCAGGUGCCGAUUCUGACCUCCGGUGACUGUUGGCCGCGAAGUUCUCGAACAGACCUUAGGACCGAUCUGCGACGCUAUAGCUUUGGGUACUUUCA
rnacentral:rRNA from 1 species